UCCCUUUAACUGCAAGGAUUACAUCAAUGUCGAAUUGAUGUUUUGUGGGUGAUUGUCAAGUUAAACCAAUGAAAUAACCACGUCGUCAGAACUUGUAUCAAACUGACAGAAAUUCAGGUAAGUUUGAAUAAAUAUUUUGACAGUCUGUUUGUACCAUAUGACUUGAUGAAUUACUUGAGUAAGAUAAAAGCUUUGAUUUCUACUCUCGAUCUCACUAGCUACCAAAAUGUUUGUCCAAAUUGUAUUGAUAUUGAUGUUAUCCGCAUCGUCGUUGGCGAUGCCUCCACCGCUAUCUACAACGCCGUUACCAACCACACCUAUACCGAAAUGUAUUUGUAGGGACGGGAUGGAGAUAUCCCCAGGAGAGAUACAUUUUAUACAAGAUUGUCUCUAUUGUACAUGCGAUGCACAGUAUGAAGUAACCACAGUUGUUAUUGAUUGUUACCCCGCCCCGUGUGUUGAUUCGUUUAACAUUCCUCAUGAUGGUAAAUGUUGUCCGACAUGCCCUAAUGGUCCUAACUGUGAAGCUGUCCUAAAUGGAGUUACACAUAUUAUUCCUGAUAAUGGUACAGUUUAUAUUGGUGAUAUUGCCUGUACUUGUCAACCUUUGUAUUUUAUUUGGUUCAAUGGUCGUACUAGAAAAGCAAGCUGUCCUCCUCUUCUAGUUACAGCUCCCACGGUACCGCCAUCACCAACUGGUGGAGAACCAACAGUCUAGAUAAGUCAUGAGCGGUGGAUAAUGUAAAGAUAGUCUACACCACCGUAUAUAUCAUCAACUAAUAGUAUUCAAUACACAAACACUUAUACAUGAUAUACGUAUACCAUCAACUAAUAGUAUUAAAUACACUGCUUGCAA